UCCGUAGGUGAACCUGCGGAAGGAUCAUUACAGAAAGUAAACGCGGGUCAAACCGCGAACUUUUAAACCUUUGACGAUUGACUCAUGUUGCCUCGGCGGGUUCGCCCGCCAGAGGAUUACAUCAAAACUCCUGUUUUAACGGUGUUGUCUGAGCUACAAGCAACGAAUUAAAACUUUCAACAACGGAUCUCUUGGUUCUGGCAUCGAUGAAGAACGCAGCGAAAUGCGAUAAGUAGUGUGAAUUGCAGAAUUCAGUGAAUCAUCGAAUCUUUGAACGCACAUUGCGCCCCUUGGUAUCCCGAGGGGCAUGCCUGUUCGAGCGUCAUUUCACCAUUCAAGCCUGGCUUGGUGUUGGGCGACGUCCCCAAAGGGGACGCGUUUCGAAACGCUCGGCGGUGUGGCACCGGCUUUAAGCGUAGCAGAAUCUUUCGCUUUGAAAGUCGGGGCCCCGUCUGCCGGGAGACCUACUCAAGGUUGACCUCGGAUCAGUAGGGAUACUCCGCUGAACUU
rnacentral:misc_RNA from 1 species